CGGUGUUGUCGUGCCCGUGCCGGCCCGGCCCGAGGCACCAGGCCGUGCCUGGGCCGUCACCCCAGCCCGUGGCACGGCCCGGGCACGGCACGGCAAACAGGCCGGCCCGGUGCGCGGCCCGGUCCCCUCCCCUCCGCUCCUAAGGCCAGGCAGGCCGCGACCGCGAGGGGGCAACGGCCCACGCCCCACCCCCACGCCCCAGCGCCCCACGCCAUAUAUAAGCGCCCCCCGCGCCGCGCGGACGCCCCCGAAACCCUAACCCUCCUCAUUCCAUUCCGCCUCCGCCGGGCCGCAGCUCUCGUCCUCCUCUCGCUCGCGACUGCCGACUGGGCGACUGAAGCUCUCUCAGUCUCUCUCUCCGCUCUCCGAUCUAGAUCUGCCUGGACCGCCACCGUCUGCCACUCCACCUCGACGUCGAGUCGCCGUCGGCCGUCGCCGACGCCUGAGUUCGCUAAUCCCCUAUCCCUUUCCUUCCUCCUUUUCCCUCCUCCCCUCUCCUUCUCUAGUGAACCAUGUGAGUCCGUCCGUGUUCAUGUAACUCGCUCCACCGUCGCUCGCCGUCCUUUCUAAUUACUUCUCUGUUUUUCUCACCUCUUCUUCUCCGGCACCGGGCUCCGGAGCAGGUAUGUACUCCGUAACCCUAACCCUAGAUUCACAUAUUUCUUCACCGGCGUUUUUCUCACCUCUUCUUCUUUCUUGCCUUUGUAGGUUGGUGCCUGACGCUGCGUCUUCCUCCUCUGGGGUAGACAUGGCCAGGCCGCCCGCCAAGCAUCCGUUGAGGGGCGGUGCCGGGGCUGGUGCUCGUGGCCGGGGCCGUGGUGGCCUGGCUAGUCCGGCCGCAUCAGCACCAUCCAGUGCUGGUGCUGGGCUCGCAACGCGGGUGGCGCAACCCCCCAGCGAUGGCGAGGACCUAG
rnacentral:lncRNA from 1 species